UACAGAGGGUGCAAACGUUGUUCGGAAUUACUGGGCGUAAAGCGCAUGUAGGCUGCUUGGAAAGUCGGGUGUGAAAGCCCUGGGCUCAACCCAGGAAGUGCACUCGAAACUUCCAAGCUCGAGUCCUGGAGAGGGUGGCGGAAUUCUCGGUGUAGAGGUGAAAUUCGUAGAUAUCGAGAGGAACACCGGUGGCGAAGGCGGCUACCUGGACAGUGACUGACGCUGAGAUGCGAAAGCGUGGGGAGCAAACAGG
rnacentral:rRNA from 1 species